GAAGGAAAUGAGAGAGAGAGAGAGAGAGAGAGAGAGAGAGAGAGAGAGAGAGAGAGAGAGAGAGAGAAGAGAAGAAAGAGUGAGAGAGUGAGAGGUAGGCAGUGAGAGGGAGGAGUGCCCAACCCAAACGCCUCAAGACUCACACUAAAACCGCACACCAACCAACCAACUGAGCCAAGAAAACAAGAGGUGACCAACCCCACUCAGAAGAAUCCUCGCGCAGGCUCGCCAGCUCAGUCACCCGCAAGACGUCAGACGGGAGAGGAGUGUGUACCUGUCUCUCUCUCCUGGGCCGCUGCACCCACCUGUCUUGCCCUUGCCUCUCCCUCCCUCCCCUCCCCAUCCGUUACCUUGAAGACGGGCUUACCUGGGAGGCAUACAGAGGCAGAUAAAAAAGACAUACGUUAAAGAGAGAGAGAGAGAAAGACUUAAUAUUAUAGAGAAGGACGUUAAAUACUAGAGAGGGAAAAAAAAUGAACGUGAAACAUUUAUUUGUGACAAGACGAAAAGGAAACUAUUCAGAAGAAUUGUGAAGAUAGUUUUUUGUGGUAUUUCCGAAGCUUGGAUAGUGAGUGGGAGUGAACACACACACACACACACACACACACAAGGUGACCAUGAGCAGCACAACAGAUUCAUUACUUACAAUGUUACCGCCGCUGGUGCUGUGAUGCUGAGACGCCCAACCUACACCUCGCCGCGCCCUUCCCUCCCCUGCCCUGCCCUGUCCUGCCUUACCGAGCCAUAUCCUGCCAUACCCUGCCUGUCCACGCCCCACGGUAACAACAGGAAAACAUAAGCGCAAUGGACUCCUUUGCGCAACACAGCACCACCACCGCUACCACCACCACCACCACAGCUGUCAACAGAAGACCCUCCCGCAGCAGGCAUUUAGCGCACAGCCUCAUCUACCUCCUCCUGGGCACCACCAUUGCUAGAGCGCAGUGUCCGUGGCCCCGGGAAGUGGUAGAAUUGAACGGGUCUUGCCUCUGUGCUUAUAACCUUAGGAAUGAGUUGUCUAUUCAGUGCACGUCUGUUAACUUCACGCUGCUCAUGACGGUACUACAUCAAAGGGCUGCUAGCGUACCGUUGGACUUGCUGUAUGUAAAUGGUACGCGCAUCAGUGCCCUAAAUGAUCGCACCUUUGAUGGUCUCAGCGUGGAGAAUAUACAGUUCUCCUCCUGCGGGAUUUACAACAUAAGCGACGGCGCAUUUAGAGGACUAGAAGACAAGCUGAAGAAUCUAAACUUACAAGAUAACAGGAUCUCGGAGGUCCCCACUGCUGCUCUUUCUAAAUUAAGAAGAUUGAAGCUGCUGGAUCUAUCUGGGAACCUCCUGACGAAUAUUCCCAAAGAUGCCUUCAAGGGGCUCAGGCUGUCCACUCUCAAGCUGGCAGAGAACGACUUGGUGCUGUCCGAGGGCGCUUUUGCUGGCUUAGAAUCGACCCUGAAGAACUUGAACCUGAAGGAGACGAAGCAAAAGACAAUACCGAAGGCCAUUAUUAACCUGCCUGUUCUUGCCUUCCUCGACAUUGCACAGAACGAGAUACGGAGUCUGGAGAAAGGUAUUUUGAAGAACCUGCACUCCCUGACGGCGCUCAACCUGGAGAGAAACACACUGCAGAGCCUGGUACCGGAGGACUUCACAGGGAUUAACGACACUCUCUCCUCUCUUUCCCUGCUCAACAAUCUCAUCACUGGCUUCCCUGUGCGGGCCUUCAACUCUCUUUCCGAACUGAGGGUCCUGGAUAUUGGCUUCAACCUCAUCCCUGAGAUCCCGGUGGAAGGCUUCAGGGGCAUCAAGUCCCUAACGCUCCUUGCUCUGGAUGGCAACCCCUUAACCAUUGUCCCUGAGUCAGCCUUCGCUCACCUUACGUCCUCGCUAAGGGGACUGUCAUUAGGCGGUCGUUUUCUGAAGUGUGACUGUCGCAUGGCAUGGGUACCUCGGUGGAUCACUGAGUAUGACCUGCAGGUGACAUCUCGUGAGCGCAAUCCUCAGUUCUGCGGCCAACCUCCUGAGCACCGUGACAAAUCCUUCUACCAGCUCAAUGAGGCAGAGAUGACAUGUGAAGAUGGCUCCUCCCCAGUUUUCUCUCUCCCUCCUCCUGCUUCCACCACCUCACCUCCCAAAACAUCUACCUCCUCCUCUUCAUCCACAUCUUUUUCCUCCCCUUCUACAACCAAGCGUGCUACCACCACCACCGCUGUCAGUACGACGACUACGUCCACUACUGCUAAACCUGAGGCAGCAUCAUUCCGUCCUGGUGAGGUGCUUCAUGCUGGCUCAAGUGGCACAGGUCAUGUUGGGUCAGUACAGCGUGGCCCUGGAGGGGAGGCACCAAGACGAGGAGGAGGAAGAGGAGGGAGACCAGGAAAUGACAUCCCUCCUCCUCCUCCACCACCCACUAGGUCACAGCAACGCCCAACCACCGUUCUUGAGAGGCCAGCCAAUCAACCUGUGCCUUCUUCUCCCUCAAGACCUAACCUGGUACUGAGGAACAAGGAGCAGGAUGGCCAUGAUGACAGGUUCUUUGGCCAGGCUUCAGGACCUUAUGUAGAGGAGGUCAUCGUGCAGGAUGCCUACAGAAAGGAGAACUCAGUCAUCAUCCAGUGGGACUCAGAGGUGUCCAAUAUUCUUGGCUUCAGGGUUGUAUACAGACUCUUUGGGGACAAGACAUUCAAGCUUGGACCGCCUCUAGCUGCCUCAGAGCGAGAGUUCAAGAUCAAGAAUGUCCCCACCCAGGAAUGUAUUGUGGUGUGCGUUGUUUCACUGGAAGACACCAACGUGACACCCGACAGCGUUCAAAAUUCCCAGUGCCGAGAGAUUCGCACAGAGACCUCAGCAGCAAUGCACAUGGACACAAUCAUCAUAGCAGCGUCAGCAGCAAUCUGUGGUACCGUCAUCAUUGCAGUGGUCGUCUUCAUCUGCUGCAACAGAAAACGUGGCAGUGACUCAAGGGAGAAGCAUGGCAUUCCUUCAGUUCUUGGUGCAUCUUCACCUCCCUUAGCCUCCCUUGGAACCCUCGGUGCAGGUGUUGGGGGCACAAGUGGAAAGCCAGACUGGGACACCCUCUCCAUGUAUUCUCAGAGAUCUAUUCCCCGAGCUAGGAUGUACCAUAUGGAUAAAGGCUCAGUAAACAAUGGAUUUGUGCCUGAUGAUGCGCGGUCCCACUUCUCUCAUGCCUCGUCCAGACACAUCCCCCGUGCGCGCUCCAUGGCAGAUGGACAGAGCCAGAGGUCCUAUUCAGCCCUCAGUGCCUCUAAUCUUCGUGCCCCAAGCUUCUCUGCAGGGUUGGGACUCUCCAGACAAGGCUCUGCGUCGGGUAGUGUGUGGCGCGAGGCUCUCUUAAACGACUCAGCACUCGGGCGUCAAGGCCUCGUCCGGCUGUGAUGGUGGUGGUGGUGGUGGUGAAGCAGCCCCCCACUCUAGUCCCUCCUCCCUCCACCCCCUCCCUCAGACCUCAGCCUGUCGCGCCAGUCCCUCGCCACCACACACUUCAGUGGCUCAGCUUUUGGACCAAUAGCAGUGAAUCCCAAUGCCACGCCCUAUGUUAUGGGAGGGCCCGGAUCCACUGUAGGCAUGCCUCGAGUCAC
rnacentral:misc_RNA from 1 species